UACGAAGGGGGCUAGCGUUGCUCGGAUUCACUGGGCGUAAAGCGUGCGUAGGCGGUCUUGUUAGUCAGGUGUGAAAGCCCUCAGCCUAACUGAGGAAUUGCGCUUGAUACUGCAUGACUAGAGAAUGAUAGAGGUGGGUGGAACUGAUGGUGGAGCGGUGAAAUGCGUUGAUAUCAUCAGGAACACCAGUGGCGAAGGCGACCCACUGGGUCAUUUCUGACGCUGAGGUACGAAAGCUAGGGUAGCGAACGGG
rnacentral:rRNA from 1 species